GCCCCGGGGGUCCCCCGGCUCCGCGCGCCGCCUCCCCACCCGAGCCGGAUUUGGGAUCAGCCAACCGGGGCCCCAGCCGUCGGCCAACCCGUCCGCCUGCAGCCCGGACCCCGUAGGCCUCGGGCCCGGCCUCGUAGGCGGCCGAGCAGACCCUUGUUUACCGACUCCCCCAACUUGUAGGGCAAACUCCUGGCCCCGUUCCUCUCGUUUGGGCCAGAACCCUGGAGAGAAAUACCUUCUUGUUGGCCAGAUCCACGACUUUCCAUAAGAGCAGGAUCAGCUCCUUCUCAUCCGAGCCCAGCUUGGCCCCGGUGGCCCCCGCGGUGAUCCCAAAAAGCACCACCAGGAAGCGGGUCACCGGGUUCUGAGGUGCUGGAUCUAAAUUCUAAUCUGUGCAACGAGGAGACGAGGACGGGGAUUUCGCGCGGUCCUGGGCCCGCCCCUGCAGCCCCGGGGCCGGGACGCCGCCGGACAGACGCUGGGCACUCCACGAAGAUUUGUGCAAAGGUCUCAGUGGGCGACGCCACCCAUUUUUUGCGGCUCUUGCUUCCUAGCGCGGCACAGGGUUCGUCUCUGCGAGCGGGAGCCCACAGGGAACCCAAGUCUCCGGUGGUUAAGAAGAGGAGGUGCUAAGUCUUCCACAGACAAACCUACUUUUGUGAAAUACGGCAAAUGCACGAGUGCCAAGGGAAGGAAAUCUGUGCAACACAGUGCAGUUCUGAAUACAAAACUUUUUUUUUUGUCUCACUAUCUAGAAUGAGUCUAAUAUAGUGGGAGUGGUCAAUAGGAGGUGCCUAGAAGGGUCCUUGAAGUGGGGGUCAUUCUACCUGUGGUCUUCACUCAAGACCACACCUAAAACUCCUCAAACAAAUGAGAAUCUGUGUGUGUGUGUGUGUGUGUGUGUGUGAGAGAGAGAGAGAGAGAGAGAGAGAGUGUGUUAGCAGAGACCUAAUUGCUCGACCGGCCACACAAUAACUUGCCUGUAUUCAUGAAAGGUUAUAAAGGACAAAGACUCAAGAACUUCUUUUUAUUUACUUAUUAGAGGGGAGACAGCAUGAGAGAGAUCAUGGGGGGGAUAGAAAGAGAAGCAGACCCCUCCCAGAGCGGGGAGCCCCAUGCAGGACUCCAUCCAGGACCCCAGGAUCACACCUGAGCCGAAGGCACACUCUUACCUGCCUCAGCCACCCAGGUGCCCUGAAGAACUAUGUGAAAGGAAUUUAUGAGACAUGACAACUAUGUGCCACGGGGAUCCUGGACUGGGCAAAAAAAAUUUUUUUUCUUUUUGCUUUAAUGGACAUUAUUGAGAUAACAGGAAAAAUUUGAGUAAGGUCUGUACAAUAAAAUGAAAUUGUAUCUGUUAAUUUCCUGAUACUUAUAUUACUAUGGUUUGGCAGGAGAAUAUUUUCUGUGUUAGGAAAUCCCCAUUCUUUAGGGAGAAGGAAUAAUGUAUAUAAUUUUACUCUCAAAUGAUUCCAUAUAUGGUAUAUAUGUAUAUCUAGAUGAGACAGAAAAUGAUAAAGCCAAUCUGGCAAAAUGUUAACAUUGGUGAAUCUGAAUGAAGGAAUUUUUUUAUACUAUUCCUUGAAACUUUUAAAGCCUUUUAAAAAAAAUCUUAGAGAACUUUUUGCUGCCACCACCAUUUGAUGUUUAACAAGGCUCUUUCUGAUAACUUCCUAUGCUAAGCUAAUCCCUUCUUCCUGUAGAAUGAAUCCAUUUUCUUUGUCUUUUCCUUAGGGAAAAAAGGAAAUAAAGGUCAUCGAUUUUUUUGUAUAACAAUCCCAAGUCAUUUAAGGGUGUUUUUAAAUAACUUUCUUAGACUAAAUCACUGCAAGCCCUUGAAUCUUUCAUUGUGAAUCUUUUCUACUUUUAAUUCUUUUCCUUUUUUUAAAGGUUUUAUUUAUUCGUGAGAGGCAGAGACACAGGCAGAGGGAGGGACCCCAGGAUCCCUGGGGCGGGCUCCCUGGGGGACCCCAGGAUCAUGCCCUGAGCCGAAGCCAGCCGCUUAACCAGUGAAACACCCAGGCAUCCCUUUAAUUAUUUUCUUUACACUCCUUGGACCCUUUUCCUUUUAUCACUUUUAAUAAAAUUUUUUAAGUUUAUUCAUUAGAGAGAGAGAGAGCAGGAAUAGGGGGAGAGGCAGAGGGAGGAGGAGAAGCAGGCUCCCCACUGAGCAGGGAACCCAAUAUAGAGCUCAUCCCAGGACCCUGGGAUCCUGACCUGAGCCAAGAGCUUAACAGACAGCCACUCAGGCCCCCCUCUUUUAUCACUUUUAGAGCGCAGCUCUUGAACUGGGCAAAAUUCAGAUGAGUCUAGCCACUGACACAGUAGUUUCUCUAUGUUUCUUUUUUUAAGAUUUUAUUUAUUUAUUAAUGAAAGAGAGAGCACACAUAGGAGGAGAAGCAGAUUUCUCGCCAAGUGCGGGUUCACGGUGUGAUCCUGGAGUCCCGGGGUCGAGUCCCCCAUCCGGCUCCCUGCAGGGAGCCUGCCUGUGUCUCUGCCUCUCUCGGUGUCUCUCAUGAAUAAAUGAAUAAAAUCUUAAAAAAAAAAAAAAAAGUUAGUCAAAGUAUGGAUCUUUGAGCUCACUGAAUAGACACCAUGAGCAAAGCUCACCCUCCUGAGUUGAAAAAAUUUAUGGACAAGAAGUUGUCAUUGAAAUUAAACGGUGGCAGUCAUGUCUAAGGAAUAGUGUGGGGGUUCGAUCCCUUUAUAGAACUUGUGAUGGGGGAUCCCUGGGUGGCGCAGCGGUUUGGCGCCUGCCUUUGAGCCAGGGCGUGAUCCUGGAGUCCCAGGAUCCAGUCCCCCAUCGGGCUCCCUGCAUGGAGCCUGCUUCUCCCUCUGCCUGUCUGUCUGUCUGUCUCUCUCUCUCAUGAAUAAAUAAAUAAAAUCUUUAAAAAAAAAAAAAAACUUGUGAUGGAUGAAGGUAUGGAGAUGGCAACUCAUGGGCAACGACAAUAUUGGAGUGGUGCUAACUCAAGGAAGUAGUGUUGUGUUAGAAGCCUUGGAAGAAAUAUAAACAACGGUGUGUUCCCUGGAAGAAAUCAACUGCUUCCACGUGUCACCCAUCUGUAGCACCUGUUUUACUACAAUAUAAAAACCAGGUCGUAUGCAUUUUCAUAUUGAACUUUUUUGUUAAAUCAACUCUUGUAAUUGUAAAAAAAAAAAAAAAAUGAAACAAAUGUUCUUGAUUAGAGUUGUAUUGUUUGGUGGUGAACAUACUAAAACCACUGACUUGUACACUUGAAAAGGUGAAGCGUAUACUUGAGAGGGGUGAAUGUGAAUCAUAUCUCAGUUUUUUAAAGACCAAAUCAACAUAAAAGCCCGUGUCCUAAGGCUACCACUAGCCAUUGAUAUUUUUUAGUUAUUCGUUUUAGAUGCAGUUGUAAAAGAGUUCACAUUUCAUACUCCUGGACAAAUCCAACCUCUCUGAAGGAGACACUUCUACAAGUGACCGGCGAUGCUCCAUGUUCCCAUCCAACAGAUCUUGCUGUGAUGUACAGCCAGACUGACUUCCAUCUGGUGUGCACACCACGCAGAGCUGGUUAGAGAUGACCCUGCACAGUCACAGAGAGAGAGAGGCAGAGACACAGGCAGAGGGAGAAGCAGGCUCCACGCACUGGGAGCCCGAUGUGGGAUUCGAUCCCCGGUCUCCAGGAUCGCGCCCUGGGCCAAAGGCAGGCGCCAAACCGCUGCGCCACCCAGGGAUCCCGGAUUCAAACAUUUUUAAUAAAGCUUUGAAACAUCUCAGUGCAGAACCACCAGCUAAGGCUGCCCCGACCUGCGCAGCCAAUGACUCAGAAAGGCCCAAGCCUAUUUCGAUGUUGUUGCUUCUCUUUUCAAAUGGAACUGGAAGUACGGACUAAGUUAUAUAUUCUUCAGCUGAAAUCUCAAAUUCAUCUACGAUGCUUGGCAGAGUCAAGCCCACGGUGAUUACCACUAGAGCCUCUAUACUUAAAAUGCUGCCCUGUAUUAUCUAGUUCAAGUAGGCAACAGCUUCCUUUUCUUAAGAUUCAAACUCUCAAUUAGUGGUUGCUUUAUGGCUGCUUUUAUUC